GAUAGAGAGAAGCUUGCUUCUCUUGAGAGCGGCGGACGGGUGAGUAAAGCCUAGGAAUCUGCCUGGUAGUGGGGGAUAACGUUCGGAAACGGACGCUAAUACCGCAUACGUCCUACGGGAGAAAGCAGGGGACCUUCGGGCCUUGCGCUAUCAGAUGAGCCUAGGUCGGAUUAGCUAGUUGGUGAGGUAAUGGCUCACCAAGGCGACGAUCCGUAACUGGUCUGAGAGGAUGAUCAGUCACACUGGAACUGAGACACGGUCCAGACUCCUACGGGAGGCAGCAGUGGGGAAUAUUGGACAAUGGGCGAAAGCCUGAUCCAGCCAUGCCGCGUGUGUGAAGAAGGUCUUCGGAUUGUAAAGCACUUUAAGUUGGGAGGAAGGGCAUUAACCUAAUACGUUAGUGUUUUGGCGUUACCGACAGAAUAAGCACCGGCUAACUCUGUGCCAGCAGCCGCGGUAAUACAGAGGGUGCAAGCGUUAAUCGGA
rnacentral:rRNA from 1 species